CUGAACCGGCGAACCCCGGGCCACCAAAGUGGAACGUGCGAACUUAACUGCUGCGCCACCGGGCUGGCCCCCCAUCAUGCCUUUUUGUUAUCCAACUCUGGGUUGGAAUUUAAUAUAUUUACUCUAAUCUCCUGGAUGUCUCCGCGUCAACUGGUGUGCCCCUUCCCCCUGCACCCUUCUCCUACCCUUGAAACUCAGAAGUAUAAUAACAAUAACAAUGGCUGACACUUUAUGCACAUUUCAUCAUUUAAUCCUCCCAAGAACUGGAGGAGGUAAGUACUAUUAUCCCCUUCCACACAGUUUAGAAAACAUUAACUAAGUUCACCCAGCUAGAGAGUGGUGGCACUGAGCUUCCAGCACAGGCAGCGCAGGAAGGGGUGGGGCAGGCAGAGCUGCUCCCGGGAGGCGUCCUCGCCCCAGGACCUGGGAGCCCAGAGAGUGAAAAGCCCACUCUGAAAUGGACACAAGGGUGGGCUACAGUCCCAGAUUUCUGAAUCUCCAUGAAUAUAACGGGAUGUCCUGAGCACAGACUUGGGAACCAGGCUGCUUGGGUUCAAACUCCAGUUUAGCUGAUCACCAGCUGGGUGACUUUGGGCAAGUGUCUGUACCUCGGUUUGCUCCUCUGUAAAAUGGGCAUAAUAAUGGUACCACAUGGGGUGGCUGUGUGUAUUCAUGAGUUACACACACAGAGAUUCUCUGACGGCAUUCGCUCUUUCUCACAAAAUGCUGCUUUCUGUGCAUCCCUCCCUUAAAGCCACUUGACCCUGAGGAUUCACCCACUUUUUAAAAAUUAGUCAAUGAGUUUACCCAAUAGAGGGUUGAUUACUCAAGUAGUUAUCUCUUAAGAAAGUACAAAAGGCUGUGAAAGAGAAGAGUUGGGUCAAGGUGGAAAAAUUUCUGAAAGCCUGUAUGUGUGUGUGACCUGUUUAAACACAAAGAAGUAGGUCUGCAAGGAUCCACGGCGCACUGCUCAAGGUGCUCGCCUGCCUGGGGGAUGGCAGGGGCAGGGAGGCGAGACAAGGGCUUCUGCAUUUUACUUGUAUAGGCAUCAGCAUUUAAAAAAAAAUUAACAACAAACACGUGCUACUGUCACGAAGCAAAGUGGGUUUGCUUCUUGGUGAGCUGAAAUCAGAGCCUUCACCAGAAGUAGUUGUCACACAAAGGAAAGUUUAUUUGCCGCAAAUAGGAGACCUCGGGGAAUCAUUUCCAAAGUCGGGGCUCUCUGUGAGCACAGGACAGGAGGGGCCGUUUAUUUCAGAUGGGGAAUGAAUAUUCAAAGGAGAGAGGUGGGUAUUCGCUUGCGCAGGCUCAGUUGGAAAACAUGCUUCCACAUACAUCACGUUAUGGCAACAAGGCCUAAGCCCCUCCAAGAGGGAAGAUCUUAGCGUUAAAAAUGAGGCAAAGGUCACCUCCUACCCAUUGGGUGUGCCUCUGCCAUCCAGUUGUGGAAUAAAAUCCAUGCAUCAAGAAUUUUAAAAUAGGAAUAAAUGUGGUUGAAGGUACAUGGGGAAUCAUACUCCUACUUUUCUGUAUGUUGAAAAUUGAUGUAAAUUUUUAAAAAUUUAAAGCAGUUUGCUCUCAAGGUAGAUGACCUUAAAAGUACACAUAUAGAAAAAGUCCCGUGGCUUAUCAUCACUCACGACAAACGUGAAAGUCUGCAGAACUACAAAAUCCUAAAUGCCUAAAAAAGGUAUAGCAAUUGCUGUCUUCAAUUCAUUCCCUCUCAUACACACAACUGGCUGUAAUUUCCAGUUUUAUAAAGUAGCCGUGUAGCCAUUUGGAAGAUUCUGGUGUUAAAAAAGAAAUAGGCCCAAAAUGGAGUCAUUUGCCCCCACAAUAGCCAACCAAGACUUGAUUACAGUUUCAACCUAUCCCAGGCAUGUGAUCUUUUCAACGGUCAAUCAGAAAUUUCCUGACUAGCCCUAGUGAGGUAAUCUGCAUGAUGAAAACCCCUUCUGAUCCCUUCCCCUAAAAGAAGCCGUCCUGGCCUGAAACAAUUCUUUCUUUUCUUUUGCUAAUCACUUCCUUACCCCACCCUCCUUCUGCCUAUAAAAACUUUCCAGUUGUACAACUCCUUGGAUUAUCUCUCUACUUGCUACACAGGAUGCUGCCUGAUUCAAAUUGUUUAAUAUAGCCAAUUAGAUCUUCAAAUUUACUCGGUUGAAUUUUGUUUUUUAACAUAUUUGGUGGCAGCCGUGGGAUCAAAGGAGACUUCUGUUGACUUCGAGGACAAAGAGAAACACAGGUGUGGUGCCCUGUGAACACUUCUGAGUUUGCUGUCUUUUUUCACCAUUUCCAGGGGCGUUUUGGUUUCCUGGAUGGGCUGAAGACUUCCCUUGCUGCAAGGCUGAUGUCCUUACAGUGGCAAAGAAACUGUUAGAAAAUGUGUUUCCCACUUGGGGUCUACCUUCCAUAAUCUCUAAAAUGAUUGAGGCACCCACUUCCCUGGGGAAAUCAUACCUUAAUGAAAACCUUGGAAUGAAUUCCUUCUUAGAAUUAUCACUAUCCCUAUCACCCUAUCACCCAAUCAUUAGGCAAGGUCAAGAGAACUUGACCUCUUGAUGUGAUCCUCAAAAUUAAAAUUCCUAAACUUGCCAAAACUACUGGACUCCCUCGGCUUAAAGUAUUUCCUUUGGUCUUGCUGACUGUUCACAGUACCCACUUUGGGAGACAUAAACUCACUCCACACAAUAUAGUCUGGUAGGCCAAGUCUAUUGGUAUACAACCUGCUGCUGACCCCUUGUUGCCUCAUGCUAGUAUGACCAGUUACUGUAAGUCUCUAUGUCUUAUGUUCAAGCCUGUUAUCAACAGGGUAAAGAAGCUUUCCUGGAUCCCAAUUCAAAGGAUCCUCUUGAUCACAGUCUAGAGCCUGAUGACUAGGUAUUCUGGAAAUGUCAUCAGAGGAAGACAGCCCUUGAGCCUUGUUGGAAGAGCCUUUACCAAGUGCUCCUGACCACUGACACUGCUGCAAAACUAGAAGGCAUUGAGCCUUGGAUACACAUCUCACAGCUAAAGAAUGCUCCACCUGACAUCUGGUCCUGCACAGACGCUGGAAAUCUCUCAAUCAAAUUGACGAGGAAGAGAAAUAGCUGACAUCAAGCACUAUUCACAAUAGCCAAGACAUGGAAACCAUCCAAGUG